ensembl:snRNA U2 U2 spliceosomal RNA
AUCGCUUCUCGGCCUUUUGGCUAAGAUCAAGUGUAGUAUCUGUUCUUAUCAGUUUAAUAUCAGUGAUAUUGAAAAUAACUAUGCUAUUUAAGUUACUCUCAUACAAUUACU